rnacentral:rRNA from 1 species
UACAGAGGUCCCAAGCGUUGUUCGGAUUCACUGGGCGUAAAGGGUGCGUAGGCGGUCGGGUAAGUCUGGUGUGAAAUCUCACAGCUUAACUGUGAAACUGCAUUGGAUACUAUCCGGCUCGAGGAAUGGAGGGGAGACUGGAAUACUUGGUGUAGCAGUGAAAUGCGUAGAUAUCAAGUGGAACACCAGUGGCGAAGGCGAGUCUCUGGACAUUUCCUGACGCUGAGGCACGAAAGCCAGGGGAGCAAACGGG